rfam:Triticum urartu cultivar G1812 contig792116, whole genome shotgun sequence.
AACAUACUCCCUCCAUCCGAAAAUACAUGUCAUCAAAAUAGAUAGAAAGAGAUGUAUCUAGAUACAUCCUCCUUUAUCUAUUUUGAUGACAAGUAUUUCCGAACGGAGGGAGUACAAU